rnacentral:rRNA from 1 species
ACUCUCAGCAACGGAUAUCUUGGCUCUUGCAACGAUGAAGAACGCAACGAAAUGCGAUACGUAGUGUGAAUUGCAGAAUUCCGCGAAUCAUCGAGUCUUUGAACGCAAGUUGCGCCCGAGGCUUGUCCGAGGGCAUUUCCGCUAGAGCGUCACCGCGCCCC